AAUAACCACUGGACUCCAGUUCUGCCAGAGAAUUGGCCUUAUCCCUGAACUCCAAAGACACAUGGAACUGCUAAAAUUCAGCCUGAAGGCAGAUGGGGCUUUGACAAGCUCUAAAAUUGUAAAACAUUUCAGUUGAGGCUGAAAGAGACCUUUAGUAGCACAGCACUUGGGACUGACAGAACUCUGCAACUGUUGCUCUUGUGCGCCAUCCAUCCCAGCCUUCGUGCAGUUACCUGAUUUGCCUUUCUUUCCAGGCUGAUUUUCUACAGCUGAAAAUGCGGAGAUGAAAAUCAAGAGAUUGCUUAGAAGACACCUUGCACCAAGCUCAGAUAAGUAUGUCUUCUGACUCAAGGCUUUGAGCAAUUGCAGUUGGGAAAGUGAAAAGAUUCCACUAGUUUCCACUGAUUGUUUUAAUGUGACUGCUAAAAUGUACAGCCAGAGAUCAAAGAAAAAAACUAAU